GACGAACGCUGGCGGCGUGCUUAACACAUGCAAGUCGAACGGAAAGGCCCUGCUUUUGUGGGGUGCUCGAGUGGCGAACGGGUGAGUAACACGUGAGUAACCUGCCCUUGACUUUGGGAUAACUUCAGGAAACUGGGGCUAAUACCGGAUAGGAGCUCCUGCUGCAUGGUGGGGGUUGGAAAGUUUCGGCGGUUGGGGAUGGACUCGCGGCUUAUCAGCUUGUUGGUGGGGUAGUGGCUUACCAAGGCUUUGACGGGUAGCCGGCCUGAGAGGGUGACCGGCCACAUUGGGACUGAGAUACGGCCCAGACGCCUACGGGAGGCAGCAGUGGGGAAUAUUGCACAAUGGGCGGAAGCCUGAUGCAGCAACGCCGCGUGCGGGAGGACGGCCUUCGGGUUGUAAACCGCUUUCGCCUGUGACGAAGCGUGAGUGACGGUAAUGGGUAAAGAAGCACCGGCUAACUACGU
rnacentral:rRNA from 1 species